AAAUAACUGUCUCGCGCAACACUGCUUUGUUUGUCGUGUCAUGGCAAUCGAUAGUAUCUAACAGAAAAUAAAAAAAAAUUCAAUUCGUACCUAGUACGUGCAAAAAUUUCUAUUUCAUUUAAUUUUUUAUUCCACCGUGCAUUGAAUUCUAAGUAGAAAGUAUGUUUUUUGGGAAUCAGUGCGGUUGAUUUUACAUAAUGUGCAACAUAACGAUUUUUACACAAAGAAAGUGAAUUAUAUUCUGCUGCUGUAUGGUCAGAAGGUGAUAGAAUUGUGCUAUCCACGGACUAAGCCUGCACCAAGGAGUUUUUAUUCUCUAAGCACCUUUGCAAUUAACUUUGGUAUUUAGGCAUAAAUAAUCAUUCAAGGAAUUAUGCGGAGCGUACGAUACAAUUGUCAAUGCCUACGAUUUAAGCACCUAAGAAAGUAGCUGAGAAUAAAGGAUGUGCGGUUUGAUCUAAACAGUAAAGAGCUUUUGCUGAAUGUUGUAAAGACCGCAUGACAGCGGCGUAUAUUCAGCGCAUGGGCAUGUAUGAAAUACAAUUGGGGAACCAAUUGGAUACAUUGGUCAAGGUUCAACCGCAGAAAGAUAAAAUUUUUGGCUAUUCUUAAUAUUUUUUACCUCAAGGACAAUGAUCAAUUGAAUUAAAUUGACACAACAGAUAAACAAAUAUUAAUUAAAUGGAAAAGCGGCCUUGGAUGGACCGUUUUCAUAUUCCGAAAUGACAGUAUUCUACAGAAGUGAGGGAUUAUUUACAGGUAGAUAGCACUCAAUGACGAAGCUAAGGUGAAGUUCUUGUAAUAGCUUGAAGGUUGCAACGGAAGGUAAUUUAAUAGUUCCAUACUGUUCUUACAAGAAUCCGACAAAACGCUGGUAGCCAUGAAACAUUAACCAAGCCGCAAUCUUCCUUGCCAGCAAGAUAAAAAUUUCGAGAGAUGUAGAUGUGUGAUCCAAAUAAAUCAGAGAAAUGAGACCGUAAAUCCAUCCCCAGCAAACAGAUUAAAUAUUCGUAUAUGAUCCUGCAAAGCUUGUCCUCUUAAAGAAAGCGGUAUAUUAGCAAUAGCUCCAACAUUAUUAUCACCACUGACCAGGGGGCAUAUUCUCACAGUCACGUCACUUGGUGAUUAGAACAUUUCCUUCUAGUCACUAGGUGACGUGACUGUGAGAAUAGGGCCCCAGAACGCAGUACGUAUGUUUAGCCGACAGCAUCAUUUUCGAGUGAACUGUUGAUUCUCUCUGAAAGGAAUUGUUUGUCAUUAAGGUAUGAAAUAAAUAAAAUGAAUAAAUCUAGGAAUCAAUUAAACGCA